rnacentral:tRNA from 1 species
GCGGGAUUAGCUCAACAGGUAGAGCGCCAGCUUCCCAAGCUGGAGAAGCGGGUUCAAGUCCCGUAUCCCGCU